rnacentral:rRNA from 1 species
ACGGCGAGUGAAGCGGCAACAGCUCAAAUUUGAAAUCUGGCCCUUUCAGGGUCCGAGUUGUAAUUUGUAGAGGAUGUUUCGGCGAGUGCUCCCGUCUAAGUUCCUUGGAACAGGACGUCAUAGAGGGUGAGAAUCCCGUAUGUGAUGGGUUGCGCGAGCCAUGUGAAACUCCUUCGACGAGUCGAGUUGUUUGGGAAUGCAGCUCUAAAUGGGAGGUAAAUUUCUUCUAAAGCUAAAUACCGGCCAGAGACCGAUAGCGCACAAGUAGAGUGAUCGAAAGAUGAAAAGCACUUUGGAAAGAGAGUUAAAAAGUACGUGAAAUUGUUGAAAGGGAAGCGCUUGCAACCAGACUUGCCCGCAGUUGCUCAACCCGCCUCCUGGCGGGUGUACUCUCCUGCGGUCAGGCCAGCAUCAGUUCGGGCGGUCGGAUAAAGGCGCCGGGAAUGUAGCUCCUCUCGGGGAGUGUUAUAGCCCGGCGUGACAUGCGGCCCGCCUGGACUGAGGAUCUCGCUUCGGCUAGGAUGCUGGCGUAAUGGUUGUAAGCGGCCCGUCUUGAAACACGGACCAAGGAGUCUAACAUCUAUGCGAGUGUUUGGGUGUCAAACCCAUGCGCGUAAUGAAAGUGAACGGAGGUGGGAACGCGCAAGCGUGCACCAUCGACCGAUCCUGAUGUCUUCGGAUGGAUUUGAGUAAGAGCAUAGCUGUUGGGACCCGAAAGAUGGUGAACUAUGCCUGAAUAGGGUGAAGUCAGAGGAAACUCUGAUGGAGGCUCGCAGCGGUUCUGACGUGCAAAUCGAUCGUCAAAUUUGGGUAUAGGGGCGAAAGACUAAUCG